CCCUGACAGUCGCAAGGUGCGGCUGACACUAGCCACGACAGGAGACUCACAUG
rnacentral:sRNA from 12 species